rnacentral:rRNA from 1 species
GGGUUGUGAGGUUAAGCGACUAAGCGUACACGGUGGAUGCCCUGGCAGUCAGAGGCGAUGAAGGGCGUGCUAAUCUGCGAUAAGCGCCGGUAAGGUGAUAUGAACCGUUAUAACCGGCGAUACCCGAAUGGGGAAACCCAGUGUGACUCGUCACACUAUCAUUAACUGAAUCCAUAGGUUAAUGAGGCGAACCGGGGGAACUGAAACAUCUAAGUACCCCGAGGAAAAGAAAUCAACCGAGAUUCCCCCAGUAGCGGCGAGCGAACGGGGAGGAGCCCAGAGCCUGAAUCAGCAUGUGUGUUAGUGGAAGCGUCUGGAAAGGCGCGCGAUGCAGGGUGACAGCCCCGUACACAAAAGCGCAUGUGCUGUGAGCUCGAUGAGUAGGGCGGGACACGUGGUAUCCUGUCUGAAUAUGGGGGGACCAUCCUCCAAGGCUAAAUACUCCUGACUGACCGAUAGUGAACCAGUACCGUGAGGGAAAGGCGAAAAGAACCCCGGCGAGGGGAGUGAAAAAGAACCUGAAACCGUGUACGUACAAGCAGUGGGAGCACCCUUUGGGGUGUGACUGCGUACCUUUUGUAUAAUGGGUCAGCGACUUAUAUUCUGUAGCAAGGUUAACCGAAUAGGGGAGCCGGAGGGAAACCGAGUCUUAAUUGGGCGUUAAGUUGCAGGGUAUAGACCCGAAACCCGGUGAUCUAGCCAUGGGCAGGUUGAAGGUUGGGUAACACUAACUGGAGGACCGAACCGACUAAUGUUGAAAAUUAGCGGAUGACCUGUGGCUGGGGUGAAAGGCCAAUCAAACCGGGAGAUAGCUGGUUCUCCCGAAAGCUAUUUAGGUAGCGCCUCGUGAAUUCAUCUCCGGGGUAGAGCACUGUUUCGGCUAGGGGCCAUCCCGGCUUACCAACCCGAUGCAAACUGCGAAUACCGGAGAAUGUUAUCACGGGAGACACACGGCGGGUGCUAACGUCCGUCGUGAAGAGGGAAACAACCCAGACCGCCAGCUAAGGUCCCAAAGUCAUGGUUAUGGGAAACGAUGUGGGAAGGCCCAGACAGCCGUGAUGUUGGCUUAGAAGCAGCCAUCAUUUAAAGAAAGCGUAAUAGCUCACUGGUCGAGUCGGCCUGCGCGGAAGAUGUAACGGGCUAAACCAUGCACCGAAGCUGCGGCAGCGACGCUGAUGCGUUGUUGGGUAGGGGAGCGUUCUGUAAGCCUGCGAAGGUGGCCUGUGAGGGUUGCUGGAGGUAUCAGAAGUGCGAAUGCUGACAUAAGUAACGAUAAAGCGGGUGAAAAGCCCGCUCGCCGGAAGACCAAGGGUUCCUGUCCAACGUUAAUCGGGGCAGGGUGAGUCGACCCCUAAGGCGAGGCCGAAAGGCGUAGUCGAUGGGAAACGGGUUAAUAUUCCCGUACUUGGUGUUACUGCGAAGGGGGGACGGAGAAGGCUAUGUUGGCCGGGCGACGGUUGUCCCGGUUUAAGCGUGUAGGUGUGUGUUCCAGGUAAAUCCGGUUCACUUUAACACUGAGGCGUGAUGACGAGGCACUACGGUGCUGAAGCAACAAAUGCCCUGCUUCCAGGAAAAGCCUCUAAGCAUCAGGUAACAUCAAAUCGUACCCCAAACCGACACAGGUGGUCAGGUAGAGAAUACCAAGGCGCUUGAGAGAACUCGGGUGAAGGAACUAGGCAAAAUGGUGCCGUAACUUCGGGAGAAGGCACGCUGACACGUAGGUGAAGUGAUUUACUCAUGGAGCUGAAGUCAGUCGAAGAUACCAGCUGGCUGCAACUGUUUAUUAAAAACACAGCACUGUGCAAACACGAAAGUGGACGUAUACGGUGUGACGCCUGCCCGGUGCCGGAAGGUUAAUUGAUGGGGUCAGCGCAAGCGAAGCUCCUGAUCGAAGCCCCGGUAAACGGCGGCCGUAACUAUAACGGUCCUAAGGUAGCGAAAUUCCUUGUCGGGUAAGUUCCGACCUGCACGAAUGGCGUAAUGAUGGCCAGGCUGUCUCCACCCGAGACUCAGUGAAAUUGAACUCGCUGUGAAGAUGCAGUGUACCCGCGGCAAGACGGAAAGACCCCGUGAACCUUUACUAUAGCUUGACACUGAACAUUGAGCCUUGAUGUGUAGGAUAGGUGGGAGGCUUUGAAGCGUGGACGCCAGUCUGCGUGGAGCCGACCUUGAAAUACCACCCUUUAAUGUUUGAUGUUCUAACGUGGACCCGUUACCCGGGUUGCGGACAGUGUCUGGUGGGUAGUUUGACUGGGGCGGUCUCCUCCUAAAGAGUAACGGAGGAGCACGAAGGUUGGCUAAUCCUGGUCGGACAUCAGGAGGUUAGUGCAAUGGCAUAAGCCAGCUUGACUGCGAGCGUGACGGCGCGAGCAGGUGCGAAAGCAGGUCAUAGUGAUCCGGUGGUUCUGAAUGGAAGGGCCAUCGCUCAACGGAUAAAAGGUACUCCGGGGAUAACAGGCUGAUACCGCCCAAGAGUUCAUAUCGACGGCGGUGUUUGGCACCUCGAUGUCGGCUCAUCACAUCCUGGGGCUGAAGUAGGUCCCAAGGGUAUGGCUGUUCGCCAUUUAAAGUGGUACGCGAGCUGGGUUUAGAACGUCGUGAGACAGUUCGGUCCCUAUCUGCCGUGGGCGCUGGAGAACUGAGGGGGGCUGCUCCUAGUACGAGAGGACCGGAGUGGACGCAUCACUGGUGUUCGGGUUGUCAUGCCAAUGGCACUGCCCGGUAGCUAAAUGCGGAAGAGAUAAGUGCUGAAAGCAUCUAAGCACGAAACUUGCCCCGAGAUGAGUUCUCCCUGAGACUUAAAGUCUCCUGAAGGAACGUUGAAGACGACGACGUUGAUAGGCCGGGUGUGUAAGCGCAGCGAUGCGUUGAGCUAACCGGUACUAAUGAACCGUGAGGCUUAACCUUACAACGCCGAAG